rnacentral:rRNA from 1 species
CUGUUUGAUCCUGGCUCAGGACGAACGCUGGCGGCGUGCUUAACACAUGCAAGUCGAACGGAAAGGCCCUGCUUUUGUGGGGUGCUCGAGUGGCGAACGGGUGAGUAACACGUGAGUAACCUGCCCUUGACUUUGGGAUAACUUCAGGAAACUGGGGCUAAUACCGGAUAGGAGCUCCUGCUGCAUGGUGGGGGUUGGAAAGUUUCGGCGGUUGGGGAUGGACUCGCGGCUUAUCAGCUUGUUGGUGGGGUAGUGGCUUACCAAGGCUUUGACGGGUAGCCGGCCUGAGAGGGUGACCGGCCACAUUGGGACUGAGAUACGGCCCAGACUCCUACGGGAGGCAGCAGUGGGGAAUAUUGCACAAUGGGCGGAAGCCUGAUGCAGCAACGCCGCGUGCGGGAUGACGGCCUUCGGGUUGUAAACCGCUUUCGCCUGUGACGAAGCGUGAGUGACGGUAAUGGGUAAAGAAGCACCGGCUAACUACGUGCCAGCAGCCGCGGUGAUACGUAGGGUGCGAGCGUUGUCCGGAUUUAUUGGGCGUAAAGGGCUCGUAGGUGGUUGAUCGCGUCGGAAGUGUAAUCUUGGGGCUUAACCCUGAGCGUGCUUUCGAUACGGGUUGACUUGAGGAAGGUAGGGGAGAAUGGAAUUCCUGGUGGAGCGGUGGAAUGCGCAGAUAUCAGGAGGAACACCAGUGGCGAAGGCGGUUCUCUGGGCCUUUCCUGACGCUGAGGAGCGAAAGCGUGGGGAGCGAACAGGCUUAGAUACCCUGGUAGUCCACGCUGUAAACGGUGGGUACUAGGUGUGGGGUCCAUUCCACGGGUUCCGUGCCGUAGCUAACGCUUUAAGUACCCCGCCUGGGGAGUACGGCCGCAAGGCUAAAACUCAAAGGAAUUGACGGGGCCCCGCACAAGCGGCGGAGCAUGCGGAUUAAUUCGAUGCAACGCGUAGAACCUUACCUGGGUUUGACAUGGAUCGGGAGUGCUCAGAGAUGGGUGUGCCUCUUUUGGGGUCGGUUCACAGGUGGUGCAUGGCUGUCGUCAGCUCGUGUCGUGAGAUGUUGGGUUAAGUCC